rnacentral:rRNA from 1 species
GUCUGAAUAUGGGGGGACCAUCCUCCAAGGCUAAAUACUCCUGACUGACCGAUAGUGAACCAGUACCGUGAGGGAAAGGCGAAAAGAACCCCGGCGAGGGGAGUGAAAAAGAACCUGAAACCGUGUACGUACAAGCAGUGGGAGCACAGGUUUACCUGUGUGACUGCGUACCUUUUGUAUAAUGGGUCAGCGACUUAUAUUCUGUAGCAAGGUUAACCGAAUAGGGGAGCCGGAGGGAAACCGAGUCUUAAUUGGGCGUUAAGUUGCAGGGUAUAGACCCGAAACCCGGUGAUCUAGCCAUGGGCAGGUUGAAGGUUGGGUAACACUAACUGGAGGACCGAACCGACUAAUGUUGAAAAAUUAGCGGAUGACCUGUGGCUGGGGGUGAAAGGCCAAUCAAACCGGGAGAUAGCUGGUUCUCCCCGAAAGCUAUUUAGGUAGCGCCUCGUGAAUUCAUCUCCGGGGGUAGAGCACUGUUUCGGCUAGGGGGCCAUCCCGGCUUACCAACCCGAUGCAAACUGCGAAUACCGGAGAAUGUUAUCACGGGAGACACACGGCGGGUGCUAACGUCCGUCGUGAAGAGGGAAACAACCCAGACCGCCAGCUAAGGUCCCAAAGUCAUGGUUAAGUGGGAAACGAUGUGGGAAGGCCCAGACAGCCAGGAUGUUGGCUUAGAAGCAGCCAUCAUUUAAAGAAAGCGUAAUAGCUCACUGGUCGAGUCGGCCUGCGCGGAAGAUGUAACGGGGCUAAACCAUGCACCGAAGCUGCGGCAGCGACGCUUAUGCGUUGUUGGGUAGGGGAGCGUUCUGUAAGCCUGUGAAGGUGGCCUGUGAGGGUUGCUGGAGGUAUCAGAAGUGCGAAUGCUGACAUAAGUAACGAUAAAGCGGGUGAAAAGCCCGCUCGCCGGAAGACCAAGGGUUCCUGUCCAACGUUAAUCGGGGCAGGGUGAGUCGACCCCUAAGGCGAGGCCGAAAGGCGUAGUCGAUGGGAAACGGGUUAAUAUUCCCGUAC